UCCGGGUGUGGUGGUGCACCUGUAAUCCUAGCUACUCAGGAGGCUGAGGCAGGAGGAUGGCUUAAGUCCAGGAGUAUGCGGAUCUGGUGUCCACACUAAGUUCAGCGUCAAUAUGGUGACCUCCGGGAAGUAGGGGAUCACCACGUUGCCUAAAUAGGAGUGAACUGGCCCGGGUUAGAAAUGGAGCACAUAAAAACUCCCAUGCCGCUCAGUAGUUAGGAUCACACCUGUGAAUAGCCACUGCACUCCCACCUGGUCUUAU
rnacentral:SRP_RNA from 1 species